CCACAGACCCAGCAGCGCCGUCCACACUCCCUCGGCCGGCUACCAACAGCAACGGAGAAGCAGCUCCACAGAACCGGCCUCCAACAGCAGCCAGCACACGGCUGUGCCCACAAACCCGCAGCAGCUCCCUGCGCCCAGAAAACACUUCCUUCUCCUCCAGGCCGAGACCCUCAAGCAUUGGCAGAUCCGUCCACCGCCACGACCGCCGCCACCGAGACACAGUCGCCUGAUCUGCCACCUGAGGAAGAGAGAAGACAGAAAAAAAUCAGACCAGGAGAAAGAGAGAAAACAGAAGGAGAGCAGAUCUAAAAAGGGGGAGGAAGAACCAAAACUUUGCUUGCGUUUUUCUUCUUUGCAGGUG
rnacentral:lncRNA from 1 species